rnacentral:pre_miRNA from 1 species
UACGUACUCCCUCCGUCCCAAAAUUCUUGUCUUAGAUUUACCUAGAUAUGGAUAUAUCUAAUACUAAAACGUGACUUGAUACAUCCGUAUUUAGACAAAUCUAAGAUAAGAAUUUUGAAACGGAGGGAGUACUAC